rnacentral:rRNA from 1 species
AGAGUUUGAUCAUGGCUCAGAUUGAACGCUGGCGGAAUGCUUUACACAUGCAAGUCGAGCGGCAGCACGGGGCAACCUGGUGGCGAGUGGCGAACGGGUGAGUAAUACAUCGGAACGUGCCCAAUCGUGGGGGAUAACGUAGCGAAAGUUACGCUAAUACCGCAUACGAUCUACGGAUGAAAGCGGGGGAUCGCAAGACCUCGCGCGAGUGGAGCGGCCGAUGUCAGAUUAGGUAGUUGGUGGGGUAAAGGCUCACCAAGCCAACGAUCUGUAGCUGGUCUGAGAGGACGACCAGCCACACUGGAACUGAGACACGGUCCAGACUCCUACGGGAGGCAGCAGUGGGGAAUUUUGGACAAUGGGCGCAAGCCUGAUCCAGCCAUUCCGCGUGCAGGAUGAAGGCCUUCGGGUUGUAAACUGCUUUUGUACGGAACGAAACGGCGAGCUCUAAUACAGUUUGCUAAUGACGGUACCGUAAGAAUAAGCACCGGCUAACUACGUG